GAUGAACGCUGGCGGCGUGCCUAAUACAUGCAAGUCGAGCGAACAGACGAGGCGCUUGCUCCUCUCACGUUAGCGGCGGACGGGUGAGUAACACGUGGAUCACCUACCUAUCAGACUGGGAUAACUUCGGGACACCGGCGCUUAUACCGUAUAAUAUAUUGCACCGCAUUGUUCAAUAGUGAAAGACGGUUUUUCUGUCACUUCUCGAUGGAUCCGCGCCGCAUUAGCUAGUUGGUAGGGUAACGGCUUACCAAGGCAACGAUGCGUAGCCGAACUGAGAGGGGGAUAGGCGACAUGAGAACGGAGACAGGGACAAGAGGACUAAGGGAGGGAGCAGUAGGGAAUGGGACGCAAUGGGCGAAAGCCUGACGGAGCAAGGCGGAGUGAGAGAUGAAGGUGUUCGGAGCGUAAAAAUGGGUUAUGAGGGAAGAACAAAUGUGUAAGGAAAUAUGCACGGAGUGACGGUAACGAAUCAGAAAGCAACGGCUAACUACGUG
rnacentral:rRNA from 1 species